rnacentral:misc_RNA from 1 species
GAAAUGCGAUAAGUAAUGUGAAUUGCAGAAUUCCGUGAAUCAUCGAAUCUUUGAACGCACAUUGCGCCCUCUGGCAUUCCGGGGGGCAUGCCUGUCCGAGCGUCAUUACGCACCCUCAAGCCCGGCUUGGUGUUGGGUGUCUGUCCCCGCCCCGCGCGGGGACUCGCCUCAAAAACAUUGGCGGCCGGUACGUUGGCUUCGAGCGCAGCAGAAACGCGAACUCGAGGCCCGACGGAUCGGCGACCAGAAGUCACUUCUUCCACAGCUUGACCUCGGAUCAGGUAGGGAUACCCGCUGAACUUAAGC